GAGUGAAGAGGGACAAGCUCAAAUUUUAAAUCUUGUCGGGUUCUCCUGCACCGAGUUGUAAUUUGAAGAAGCGUUUUCCGCGCCGUUUGAUCAGCCCAAGUCUUAUUGAAUGAGGCAUCAUGGAGGGUGAGAAUCCCGUUCGGUUGAUCAGAUUCGCUUUACGAUACGCUUUCUAAGAGUCAAGUUGUUUGGGAUUGCAGCUUAAAAUGGGAGGUAAAUUUCUCCUAAGGCUAAAUAACGGCGAGAGACCGAUAGCGAACAAGUACCGUGAGGGAAAGAUGAAAAGAACUUUGAAAAGAGAGUUAAAUAGUACGUGAAAUUGUUGAAAAGGAAACGAUUGAAGCCAGUCGUACCUGCGGGUAAUCAGCCUUUUGGGCAUGAUUCUGUGGAGCGUGAGGAGUUAAACGCCUUCAUGCCUGCAUAUUCGUGUACUUUUGGGUGUACUUGCCUGUGUGGUUAGUUAACAUCAAUUUUGGUUAUCAUAAAAUGGUUGGAGGAAUGUAGCUCCGAUUUCGAUUGAAGUGUUAUAGCCUUCGGCAGAUGUGAUGAUCGGGAUUGAGGAUUGCAACGGAUGCCCUUCGGGGCUACCUGUCUGGUCUCUGAUCGUUGCUCUGGUGCCGAAAGCGUGCUUACGGUUAUCAAAGUCGAUGGUCAAUAGGUUAGAACGGGUUAAAUUCGUUA
rnacentral:rRNA from 1 species